UACGGGGGGGGCAAGCGUUGUUCGGAAUUACUGGGCGUAAAGGGCUCGUAGGCGGCCAACUAAGUCGGAUGUGAAAUCCCCAGGCUUAACCUGGGAACUGCAUCCGAUACUGGAUGGCUUGAAUUCGGGGGAGGGAUGCAGAAUUCCAGGUGUAGCGGUGAAAUGCGUAGAUAUCUGGAGGAAUACCGGUGGCGAAGGCGGCAUCCUGGACUAAUACUGACGCUGAGGCGCGAAAGCUAGGGGAGCAAACGGG
rnacentral:rRNA from 1 species